GACGAACGCUGGCGGCGUGCUUAACACAUGCAAGUCGAACGGAAAGGCCCUGCUUGCAGGGUACUCGAGUGGCGAACGGGCGAGUAACACGGGGGUGAUCUGCCCUGCACUUCGGGGUAGGCCUGGGAAACUGGGUCUAAACCCGGAUAGCAGCCACUUCUUGCGGGAGGGUUGGAAAGUUCUUUCGGUGUAGGAUGAGCUCGCGUCCUAUUGGCUAGUUGGUGGGGUAAAGGCCUACCAAGGCGACGACGGGUAGCCGGCCUGAGAGGGUGAGCGGCCACGCUGGAGCGGCGACACGGUCCAGACUCCUACGGGAGGCAGCAGUGGGGAAUAUUGGACACUGGGCGCAUGCCUGAUCCAGCCAUACCGCGUGGGUGAAGAAGGCCUUCGGGUUGUAAAGCCCUUUUGUUGGGAAAGAAAAGCAGCAGGUUAAUACCCCGCUGUUCUGACGGUACCCAAAGAAUAAGCACCGGCUAACUUCGUG
rnacentral:rRNA from 1 species